rnacentral:rRNA from 1 species
UACGUAGGGUGCAAGCGUUGUCCGGAAUUAUUGGGCGUAAAGAGCUCGUAGGCGGUUUGUCGCGUCUGCUGUGAAAACGCGAGGCUCAACCUCGCGCCUGCAGUGGGUACGGGCAGACUAGAGUGCGGUAGGGGAGAUUGGAACUCCUGGUGUAGCGGUGGAAUGCGCAGAUAUCAGGAGGAACACCGAUUGCGAAGGCAGAUCUCUGGGCCGUAACUGACGCUGAGGAGCGAAAGCGUGGGGAGCGAACAGG